AUUUGUGUAUUUUGAUGUUUUAUGUUAUAAUAUGGGGUUUUAAAUUAUGUUAGACAACUUGUACUACUCGAUUUUAAGCAAAAACGAGUAAAAGGGCUUAAUCGGUAAAAAUACCUAAUAGUCACAAGUACAUGUUAGAGUGAGAAUUUGAUGUUGCCAUAGAAGAGAAAAGCGAUCAGCAUGUUGUAAAACAUAAGAAUAAGGAAUAAAUUUUAAUCCCGAGCCUAGGGGCAAAAAUGUAAAUAUGCAAAAGUUUAGAG
rnacentral:lncRNA from 1 species